AUUGAACGCUGGCGGCAGGCCUAACACAUGCAAGUCGAGCGGAGCGGCGGACGGGUGAGUAAUGCCUAGGAAUCUGCCUGUUAGUGGGGGAUAACGUCCGGAAACGGGCGCUAAUACCGCAUACUAUCAGAUGAGCCUCGGUCGGAUUAGCUAGUUGGUGGGGUAAUGGCCUAGCAGGGCGACGAUCCAUAACUGGUCUGAGAGGAUGAUCAGUCACACGGGAACUGAGACACGGUCCAGACUCCUACGGGAGGCAGCAGUGGGGAAUAUUGCACAAUGGGCGAAAGCCUGAUGCAGCCAUGCCGCGUGUGGGAAGAAGGCCUGCGGGUUGUAAAGCACUUUCAGCGGGGAGGCGUUACCCGCAGAAGAAGCACCGGCUAACUCCGUGCCAGCAGCCGCGGUAAUUC
rnacentral:rRNA from 1 species